rnacentral:misc_RNA from 1 species
GAUGAAGAACGCAGCGAAAUGCGAUAAGUAAUGUGAAUUGCAGAAUUCAGUGAAUCAUCGAAUCUUUGAACGCACAUUGCGCCCGCCAGUAUUCUGGCGGGCAUGCCUGUUCGAGCGUCAUUACAACCCUCAGGCCCCCGGGCCUGGCGUUGGGGAUCGGCGGAAGCCCCCUGCGGGCACAACGCCGUCCCCCAAAUACAGUGGCGGUCCCGCCGCAGCUUCCAUUGCGUAGUAGCUAACACCUCGCAACUGGAGAGCGGCGCGGCCACGCCGUAAAACACCCAACUUCUGAAUGUUGACCUCGAAUCAGGUAGGAAUACCCGCUGAACUUAAGCAUAUCAAUAGGCGGAGGA